rnacentral:lncRNA from 1 species
CUGGCCCUUUGAUUAAAUGCAAGGACCUGCUGGUGUGUAAAACAGCAGCCUGGCUUUAGCAGACCAAGCUGCUGAUGGAACUGAAAGGAAAAAUAAUAUUUCAACUCCUGGACAAUUAAAAACGAGAGCUGGAGGUAACAGCUUGUCUCUGUGUGGACAGGCCAAGUCUCAGGCCCCUCAGUUCCUGUGGCUCAGUCUAUAGAUUGAUCUAUAUGUGUCUGUUCUUGGAUUUCAGGCCUGGACCUGAGUCAACUGAACUUCUCCAGUGUGUGGUGAUCAUUGAAUUGGACUUGGAGACAUGAAAAAAGCUGCUGGAAAACUUGGAGCUGGCUCUGAAUUGCCAUUCAAGCAAUUUGUGUUAAAAAAGGCUGCCAGAUUCCUCUGCCAGGGACUAAUUGGAGCUGAUGAUUGCCUGCCAUGAGAAUUGCAAAUUCCAUUUCCAAGGUGCUUUUUUUUUUUUUCUUUUCCUUUUUUAAAAAUCAGUUUACAGGUUUUGGCAAGAGGCUGUUAUUGGCUCUAAAAUAACAAGAAUGCUUCCAGCAUAGAUUUAGGCAUAACUGUUAAUAUUCUCCAGAUUCCUUCAUUGAAAAAACCAUGCCAGUUACAAAAAAACAAAAAUCCACCCCUCCCUCCAAUUUGCUUAGCCAAAUUUACUUUCUGUUUGCUUAUUUGCAGCCCAUAAAAGC